rnacentral:rRNA from 1 species
AUACAUAGGGGGCGAGCGUUGUCCGGAAUGAUUGGGCGUAAAGGGCGCGUAGGCGGCCCGGUAAGUCUGGAGUGAAAGUCCUGUUUUUAAGAUGGGAAUUGCUUUGGAUACUGUCGGGCUUGAGUGCAGGAGAGGUAAGUGGAAUUCCCAGUGUAGCGGUGAAAUGCGUAGAGAUUGGGAGGAACACCAGUGGCGAAGGCGACUUACUGGACUGUAACUGACGCUGAGGCGCGAAAGUGUGGGGAGCAAACAGGAUUAGAUACCCUGGUAGUCCACACUGUAAACGAUGAAUGCUAGGUGUAGGGGGUAUCGACCCCUUCUGUGCCGCAGUCAACACAAUAAGCAUUCCGCCUGGGGAGUACGGCCGCAAGGUUGAAACUCAAAUGAAUUGGCGGGG